rnacentral:rRNA from 1 species
GUUUGAUCAUGGCUCAGAUUGAACGCUGGCGGCAGGCUUAACACAUGCAAGUCGAGCGGGGGAAGGUAGCUUGCUACUGGACCUAGCGGCGGACGGGUGAGUAAUGCUUAGGAAUCUGCCUAUUAGUGGGGGACAACAUCUCGAAAGGGAUGCUAAUACCGCAUACGUCCUACGGGAGAAAGCAGGGGAUCUUCGGACCUUGCGCUAAUAGAUGAGCCUAAGUCGGAUUAGCUAGUUGGUGGGGUAAAGGCCUACCAAGGCGACGAUCUGUAGCGGGUCUGAGAGGAUGAUCCGCCACACUGGGACUGAGACACGGCCCAGACUCCUACGGGAGGCAGCAGUGGGGAAUAUUGGACAAUGGGGGGAACCCUGAUCCAGCCAUGCCGCGUGUGUGAAGAAGGCCUUAUGGUUGUAAAGCACUUUAAGCGAGGAGGAGGCUACUUUAGUUAAUACCUAGAGAUAGUGGACGUUACUCGCAGAAUAAGCACCGGCUAACUCUGUGCCAGCAGCCGCGGUAAUACAGAGGGUGCGAGCGUUAAUCGGAUUUACUGGGCGUAAAGCGUGCGUAGGCGGCUUAUUAAGUCGGAUGUGAAAUCCCCGAGCUUAACUUGGGAAUUGCAUUCGAUACUGGUGAGCUAGAGUAUGGGAGAGGAUGGUAGAAUUCCAGGUGUAGCGGUGAAAUGCGUAGAGAUCUGGAGGAAUACCGAUGGCGAAGGCAGCCAUCUGGCCUAAUACUGACGCUGAGGUACGAAAGCAUGGGGAGCAAACAGGAUUAGAUACCCUGGUAGUCCAUGCCGUAAACGAUGUCUACUAGCCGUUGGGGCCUUUGAGGCUUUAGUGGCGCAGCUAACGCGAUAAGUAGACCGCCUGGGGAGUACGGUCGCAAGACUAAAACUCAAAUGAAUUGACGGGGGCCCGCACAAGCGGUGGAGCAUGUGGUUUAAUUCGAUGC